GUGGGGAAUCUUGCGCAAUGGGCGAAAGCCUGACGCAGCCAUGCCGCGUGAAUGAUGAAGGUCUUAGGAUUGUAAAAUUCUUUCACCGGGGACGAUAAUGACGGUACCCGGAGAAGAAGCUCCGGCUAACUUCGUGCCAGCAGCCGCGGUAAUACGAAGGGGGCUAGCGUUGCUCGGAAUUACUGGGCGUAAAGGGCGCGUAGGCGGACAGCUUAGUCAGAGGUGAAAGCCCAGGGCUCAACCUUGGAAUUGCCUUUGAUACUGGCUGUCUUGAGUUUGGGAGAGGUGAGUGGAACUCCGAGUGUAGAGGUGAAAUUCGUAGAUAUUCGGAAGAACACCAGUGGCGAAGGCGACAUACUGGCUCAUUACUGACGCUGAGGCGCGAAAGCGUGGGGAGCAAACAGGAUUAGAAACCCGUGUAGUCC
rnacentral:rRNA from 1 species